CCUGGCUCAGGAUGAACGCUAGCUACAGGCUUAACACAUGCAAGUCAGGGGCAUCAGGACGAUAGCUUGCUAUGUUGCUGGCGACCGGCGCACGGGUGAGUAACGCGUAUCCAACCUUCCCCAUAGUAGAGGGAUAGCCCGGCGAAAGUCGGAUUAAUACUCUAUGUUCUUCAAUGCGGACAUCUAACUUGAAGCAAAGAUUCAUCGCUAUGGGAUGGGGAUGCGUCUGAUUAGCUUGUCGGCGGGGUAACGGCCCACCGAGGCAACGAUCAGUAGGGGUUCUGAGAGGAAGGUCCCCCACAUUGGUACUGAGACACGGACCAAACUCCUACGGGAGGCAGCAGUGAGGAAUAUUGGUCAAUGGGCGCGAGCCUGAACCAGCCAAGUAGCGUGCAAGGACGACUGCCCUAUGGGUUGUAAACUGCUUUUAUGCGGGAAUAAAGUCAGGUAUGUGUACCUGUUUGUAUGUACCGCAUGAAUAAGGACCGGCUAAUUCCGUGCCAGCCGCCGC
rnacentral:rRNA from 1 species